CAUGGCUCUGAGGAUGGUUGGUAGGGAUUUGUUGGAUUAGGUUACCUGAGCUAGAAAGCUCAACCCUGAAUAGGGGAUAGAGUCCCCCGGACUUGAGGAAGAAUGAGAAAGCAAGCUGAGCACAGGCAUUUAUCCAUGGCCCUGCUUCCUGAACUUAACAUGCCAUAUGAGCAACUGUCUCUUGCUCCUGCUUCUGUGACUUCUCAUGAUAAAUCUACCUUCCAAAUGUAAGCCAAAAUCGAUCCAUUCAGGUGUUAGCCACAGCCACAAGAAAGUAACAGUCUCACUAGUGCUAAACCUUCCGUCCAGGUAGGACCCUGCGAACAGAAGAUCAUAUUGCUUUUGAAUAUUUGAUGUCACUCAGGAAAAAACACUGUCUACUGUGAGGUGUUUUCCAACCCCGAAACUCUAUCAAAACAUCUCCCCAUCAGAAAGAACACACUGUGAACAUGAAUGGCUACUAAGUCCUCAUGUGUCCAAGUUCCUCUUGCAAGUAAGUGUAACACUGGCUUUAAUAUGCUCCGUGUGGAACUUACUUGAGU
rnacentral:lncRNA from 1 species